rnacentral:rRNA from 1 species
GAUGAACGCUGGCGGCGUGCUUAACACAUGCAAGUCGAACGAUGAAGCCCAGCUUGCUGGGUGGAUUAGUGGCGAACGGGUGAGUAACACGUGAGUAACCUGCCCUUAACUCUGGGAUAAGCCUGGGAAACUGGGUCUAAUACCGGAUAGGAGCGUCCACCGCAUGGUGGGUGUUGGAAAGAUUUAUCGGUUUUGGAUGGACUCGCGGCCUAUCAGCUUGCUGGUGAGGUAAUGGCUCACCAAGGCGACGACGGGUAGCCGGCCUGAGAGGGUGACCGGCCACACUGGGACUGAGACACGGCCCAGACUCCUACGGGAGGCAGCAGUGGGGAAUAUUGCACAAUGGGCGCAAGCCUGAUGCAGCGACGCCGCGUGUGGGAUGACGGCCUUCGGGUUGUAAACCUCUUUCAGUAGGGAAGAAGCGAAAGUGACGGUACCUGCAGAAGAAGCACCGGCUAACUACGUG